UGGGGAAUAUUGCACAAUGGGCGCAAGCCUGAUGCAGCAACGCCGCGUGAAUGAUGAAGGCCUUCGGGUCGUAAAGUUCUGUCCAAAGGGAAGAAAACAAUGACGGUACCUUUGGAGGAAGCCCCGGCUAACUACGUGCCAGCAGCCGCGGUAAUACGUAGGGGGCAAGCGUUAUCCGGAAUCAUUGGGCGUAAAGGGAGCGUAGGCGGCUUGACAAGCCAGAGGUGAAAGGCAAUAGCUUAACUAUUGUAAGCCUUUGGAACUGUCAGACUUGAGUGCAGGAGAGGAAAGUGGAAUUCCUAGUGUAGCGGUGAAAUGCGUAGAUAUUAGGAGGAACACCAGUGGCGAAGGCGACUUUCUGGACUGUAACUGACGCUGAGGCUCGAAAGCGUGGGGAGCGAACAGG
rnacentral:rRNA from 1 species